rnacentral:rRNA from 1 species
UAAUACGUAGGGUGCAAGCGUUGUCCGGAAUUAUUGGGCGUAAAGAGCUCGUAGGCGGUCUGUCGCGUCGGCUGUGAAAACUCGGGGCUCAACCCCGAGCCUGCAGUCGAUACGGGCAGACUUGAGUGCUGUAGGGGAGACUGGAAUUCCUGGUGUAGCGGUGAAAUGCGCAGAUAUCAGGAGGAACACCGGUGGCGAAGGCGGGUCUCUGGGCAGUAACUGACGCUGAGGAGCGAAAGCGUGGGGAGCGAACAGGAUUAGAUACCCUGGUAGUCCACGCCGUAAACGGUGGGUGCUAGGUGUGAGCGGUAUUCCACGCCGUUCGUGCCGCAGCUAACGCAUUAAGCACCCCGCCUGGGGAGUACGGCCGCAAGGCUA